rnacentral:rRNA from 1 species
UACGUAGGGACCAAGCGUUGUUCGGAUUUACUGGGCGUAAAGGGCGCGUAGGCGGCAAUUCAAGUCAUCUGUGAAAUCUCCGGGCUUAACCCGGAACGGUCAGGUGAUACUGCUUUGCUAGAGUGCGGAAGGGGCAAUCGGAAUUCUCGGUGUAGCGGUGAAAUGCGUAGAUAUCGAGAGGAACACCAGAGGUGAAGACGGGUUGCUGGGCCGACACUGACGCUGAUAGCGCGAAAGCCAGGGGAGCAAACGGG